rnacentral:rRNA from 1 species
GAUGAACGCUGGCGGCGUGCCUAAUACAUGCAAGUCGAGCGAACGGACGAGAAGCUUGCUUCUCUGAUGUUAUCGGCGGACGGGUGAGUAACACGUGGAUAACCUACCUAUAAGACUGGGAUAACUUCGGGAAACCGGAGCUAAUACCGGAUGAGAUUUUGAACCGCAGGGUUCAAAAGUGAAAGACGGUCUUGCUGUCACUUAUAGAUGGAUCCGCGCUGCAUUAGCUAGUUGGUAAGGUAACGGCUUACCAAGGCAACGAUGCAUAGCCGACCUGAGAGGGUGAUCGGCCACACUGGAACUGAGACACGGUCCAGACUCCUACGGGAGGCAGCAGUAGGGAAUCUUCCGCAAUGGGCGAAAGCCUGACGGAGCAACGCCGCGUGAGUGAUGAAGGUCUUCGGAUCGUAAAACUCUGUUAUUAGGGAAGAACAUAUGUGUAAGUAACUGUGCACAUCUUGACGGUACCUAAUCAGAAAGCCACGGCUAACUACGUG